rnacentral:rRNA from 1 species
GAUGAACGCUAGCUACAGGCUUAACACAUGCAAGUCGAGGGGAAACGACAUCGAAAGCUUGCUUUUGAUGGGCGUCGACCGGCGCACGGGUGAGUAACGCGUAUCCAACCUGCCCAUCACUUGGGGAUAACCUUGCGAAAGUAAGACUAAUACCCAAUGAUAUCUCUAGAAGACAUCUGAAAGAGAUUAAAGAUUUAUCGGUGAUGGAUGGGGAUGCGUCUGAUUAGCUUGUUGGCGGGGUAACGGCCCACCAAGGCAACGAUCAGUAGGGGUUCUGAGAGGAGGGUCCCCCACAUUGGAACGGGGCAACGGCCCAAACUCCACCGGGGGGCAGCGGGGGGGAAGAUGGGCCAAGGGGCGGGGGCUUGAACCGGCAAGGUAGGGUGCAGGAGGCCGGCCUAUUGGUUUGAAAACUGCCUUUAUAGGGAAUAAAGUGAGAGUCGUGACUCUUUUUGUAUGUACCUUAUGAAUAAGGACCGGCUAAUUCCGUG